ACAGAUCAGGAGCUGCACUGCACGUUCCAAGAAAGCAAUGCAAUAGGAUUAUAAUAUAUAUAGUUUGCUGCGCGCCGUUCUAAACCAUCCAUGUCUAGCUGCAGCGCAGCUCUGAGGAGGUUUGGCCUGGCAGGGUUGUGUGUGUGUUGGUCUUCCGGCAUAGGUGCCACGUGGAGGCCAGGCACAAGCCCAGUGUCCUUAGCCCAAGUGCUUGGUGGCUAUGGGCCACGAGAGGAGAGGCGUUCCAAGGCAAGUUGUUCGGGCCGACCAGCCCUGAGUGGUUCCUGCGAGCCUUGCCCUGCAGGUUCCAUAGGAAAGGCGGUCGGGAGGCGGAAGGUCGGAUAGUCCGGUUGACGCGUCGCUCAGUUAGUACGCAACACAGAGAUCGAUCGUCAUACAAUCGCGACACCCAAGCAAUAAAUCCCUAUCAAUGAAGUUCUCACGUGCACCCAUGAUUUUCACAUGAACGCAAACACACACACACGCGCGCGCACACACACACACACACAUAUAUAUAUAUUGGACACGCUUAAAUGAGAACGGUUUUCUGGGAGAAACAUCAGAACCACUCACAAUCAUCCACGUGUCCAGAUUCAAUGAAUUAGAUGUAAUUUAAAAAAAAUGUUGUGGUGACAUUUUCAUAAAUAACUCAAACUUUGGUGCAA